CGCUGUCACUCCUACGGGAGGCAGCAGUGGGGAAUAUUGCACAAUGGGCGCAAGCCUGAUGCAGCCAUGCCGCGUGUAUGAAGAAGGCCUUCGGGUUGUAAAGUACUUUCAGCAGUGAGGAAGGUGGUAGUGUUAAUAGCACUAUCAUUUGACGUUAGCUGCAGAAGAAGCACCGGCUAACUCCGUGCCAGCAGCCGCGGUAAUACGGAGGGUGCGAGCGUUAAUCGGAAUUACUGGGCGUAAAGCGCAUGCAGGUGGUUUGUUAAGUCAGAUGUGAAAGCCCGGGGCUCAACCUCGGAAUUGCAUUUGAAACUGGCAGACUAGAGUACUGUAGAGGGGGUAGAAUUUCAGGUGUAGCGGUGAAAAUGCGUAGAGAUCUGAAGGAAUACCGGUGGCGAAGGCGGCCCCCUGGACAGAUACUGACACUCAGAUGCGAAAGCGUGGGGAGCAAACAGGAUUAGAUACCCUGGUAG
rnacentral:rRNA from 1 species